rnacentral:lncRNA from 1 species
CACAGCCUUCAGGCUGCCUCGGCUGCUCUGAACUACCUCACGCGGAUGCCGCUGGGUGAACAGAAAGGAUCCUCAGAAAGGAUAAUCGAGGGGCUGCUGCUUGAUCAGACCCGAUUGCCUCUCCAUGACGGCAGUAGGGAGGUAUCCUAACAGAGAAGUAACGUCCUAAAACGAGGCGAAGUGAUAACGGACAUGAGAGCAUCUGAACAGGCAAAGGUCCAGAAAUUAUUCUUCAGAUCUCACUUGCUUGGUUUCCUGUGUCUGAGCUGGAAAGAAGGAAUGGAGAAAUGUGUUUCUAU